rnacentral:rRNA from 1 species
GUGAGUAACCUGCCCUUAACUCUGGGAUAAGCCUGGGAAACUGGGUCUAAUACCGGAUAGGAGCGCCCACCGCAUGGUGGGUGUUGGAAAGAUUUAUCGGUUUUGGAUGGACUCGCGGCCUAUCAGCUUGUUGGUGAGGUAAUGGCUCACCAAGGCGACGACGGGUAGCCGGCCUGAGAGGGUGACCGGCCACACUGGGACUGAGACACGGCCCAGACUCCUACGGGAGGCAGCAGUGGGGAAUAUUGCACAAUGGGCGCAAGCCUGAUGCAGCGACGCCGCGUGAGGGAUGACGGCCUUCGGGUUGUAAACCUCUUUCAGUAGGGAAGAAGCGAAAGUGACGGUACCUGCAGAAGAAGCACCGGCUAACUACGUGCCAGCAGCCGCGGUAAUACGUAGGGUGCGAGCGUUAUCCGGAAUUAUUGGGCGUAAAGAGCUCGUAGGCGGUUUGUCGCGUCUGUCGUGAAAGUCCGGGGCUUAA